GAGACGCUUCACUGAACUGCUAAAUCAAUCCACCGGACCUAAACACCCGGGCUUCUC
rnacentral:tRNA from 1 species